GCUGGCAGCUAGCUCUCUGCAACUCUCACAUGCUUGUCCACUGAAGUUAAGCAGGGCUCACCCGGUCAGUAUCUGGAUGGGAGACCACAUGUGAAAGCUAGGUUGCUGCCAGAA
rfam:Danio rerio chromosome 9 genomic contig CTG875, GRCz11 reference primary assembly.